rnacentral:lncRNA from 1 species
AUCAAAAUUUUCAAAAGUCCCAAUUGAACACACGCCCCUUAAUUUCAAAACAAUCGGACUCUUUUUCACAAAUUCUCCGUGAAUAUGGUAUCCAAAGAAAGAAGAAAUCGUAACACAAACGAGAACUGAGGACUUAGGGUAUCAUCAAAAGCAAAUGUAAAAAAGAUUCUCAUAGGACAUUUGGCUUCUCCUUCUGAUCGUCCACCGUUCCACCAGAACCGUCGUCGGAAUCAAUGCAACAAUCAAUUGUCGAUUGUGGGUUCGGGCCAUGAUGGAUGUAAUUUGUCUCAAACCCAUGUCAUUUAUCCAAAUUACAUUAUUCGAUUUUGUGUUUGUGAAAUGUUACGCAUCGAGAUUCUUUGCACGCAAUGUGUUUGAUAAAUGAACUCAUUCCUAAUUGAAAUAAUGCAUGCAAAUUGCAAAUUGAUAGACGAGUUAUUGAUCUAUGUUUUAAUCUCCAUUUAUCAACUGAGUUAUUCAAUUUGUGGAUAUAGAUUACUAUCAGAAAUUAGAGAACAAGAAUCUGAUUUGAUUGUUUUUGUUGAAAACAAUUUAAUUAUAAGAAAUUUUUCCCUUUUCCAAGUUUAUCCUAUUCAACAGUCUGAUUUGAUUGGUUUUGUUGAAAACAAUUUAAAUAUAAGAAAUUUGUCCAUUUUCCACAGUUUAACCUAUUCAACAAAGUGUAUGAGCGGGUUUAUAAGAACUGUGCACGAAUUAGGACUCUGAUAAGCAUAUUUUGCUCCAUUCAUUUAUGAGAUGAUAGAGCGGGUUUAUAAAAAUUGUGCACUUAUUAGAACUCUGAUAAGCAUAUUUUACUCCAUUCAUUCAUCAGAUGAUAAGUGUAUGCAAAAGUAAUUAUUUCCCGAAAUGGAAAUAUAAUAUAUGAUUUUGGAUGAACAGGAUAAAUCGAAGAAUGGUGUUCUUGCUGUACAAAUACUAAGAAUCAACAUAAUGGCAUAAACUCUUUUGGCGUUGACUGUGAUCAUGCUCAGUUUCCUCAUUGCUGUGUUGAUGAUGAGUGGUGGCAACAACCCCCCCAAUAAGGUGGUUUACGGCAACAAAAACGAGCUUGGAUUCUCCCUAAAGUUCUUCUCCAUAUUGGUAUGCUUCUUGGUGGCAUUCUUGCUUAAUGUGCAAUCAAUAAGGCACUAUAGCCAUGCAAGUAUACUCAUCAAUGUGCCUAAUUACAAGGAGAUAAUGGCUUCAAGUUUUGAUGAUCAUAACAAUGAUUAUUGUGUGACGCCAGGGUACGUAGGGAGAAUGGUGAGUAGGGGGAGUUAUUUUUGGUCAUUAGGCGUUAUGGCAUUUUACUUUUCGUUUCCUUUCUUGUAGAUUUUUGGACCAAUUCCAAUAUUUUUGGGUUGUCUUGUUACGCUUUUCUUGCUGUACUUUUUGGAUGUGAGUUUUACGCCCGAAGAAGAGGGCCAUCGCCACCACCAGCAGGAGGACGAGGAGACAGCAUGUUGAAAUGGCGGGAUUAAUCAAUAAGUAAUAGUUUAGUCGCGAAUUAACAGAUAAUUAGAGGAAAUUUUGGAAUCUGUAUAUGUUGAAUUGAAUUGAAUUGCUCUUUGACUUUAAUAGCCGUGUUUUCCUUUCUAUUAUUGCAUAAAUAAUUGAUUGACUAGAAAAGAAGGACGUGUAAAAUGUUUAUUCAUUGUCGUAUCC